UCUUUUUUAAAAAAAAUAAUUUAAGUAGACAAUUUUGAAACAAAAAUCUCUGCCUUUAUUUUUAAUGCCAGCACUGCUAUGUCUUGUUACAGGGACAAACAGAUUUUUAAGAAAUGCUUAUACACCACCCC